rnacentral:rRNA from 1 species
AGGACGAACGCUGGCGGCGUGCUUCAUACAUGCAAGUCGAACGGGGUCCAUCCUUCGGGAGAAGACCUAGUGGCGAACGGGUGAGUAACACGUGAGCAACCUGUCCCAAAGUCCGGGAUAAGCCAGGGAAACUUGGUCUAAUACCGGAUGCCUUCAUCGAGUCUCAUGUCUUGAUGAAGAAAGUUUUUCGCUUUGGGAGGGGCUCGCGGACUAUCAGCUUGUUGGUGGGGUAAUGGCCUACCAAGGCUUCGACGGGUAGCUGGU